rnacentral:sRNA from 1 species
AUUUUUUUAAAAAGAAAUAUCUUGAGUUAUUUUUUCUUGACAAUAUUUCUAUUGAUUGUUGUUAGAACAGGCAUGUAAGAAAAAUAUGCUCUGUUCCAUUUGUCUCACAAAAGGCAAAAAUAUGCUGUUUUUGUGGUUCCUUGUGUUUCAGGAAGCAAGAGGCUACUAUGAGCAGACUGGAGUUGGACCUCUGCCCGUUGUGCUGUUCAAUGGAAUGCCCUUUGAAAGGGAACAGCUAGACCCUGAUGAGUUAGAAACCAUCACAAUGCAUAAAAUUCUGGAGACCACCACCUUUUUCCAAAGAGCGGUGUACUUGGGUGAACUGCCCCAUGAUCGAGAUGUGGUAGAGUAUAUCAUGAAUCAGCCAAAUGUUGUUCCACGAAUCAAUUCUAGGAUUUUGACAGCUGAACGAGACUACCUGGAUUUAACAGCGAGUAAUAACUUCUUUGUGGAUGAUUAUGCUAGAUUUACUAUCUUGGAUUCCCAAGGCAAGACUGCUGCUGUAGCCAAUAGUAUGAACUAUUUGACAAAGAAAGAUGAUUCUUUUAUUAGGCCAGUAACUUUUUGGAUUGUUGGGGAUUUUGAUAGCCCUUCUGGACGGCAGUUACUGUAUGAUGCCAUCAAACAUCAGAAAUCCAGUAACAAUGUUAGAAUAAGCAUGAUCAAUAAUCCUGCCAAAGAGAUAAGCUAUGAGAACACUCAGAUCUCCAGAGCAAUCUGGGCAGCUCUCCAAACUCAGACUUCCAACGCUGCUAAGAACUUCAUCACCAAAAUGGCCAAGGAGGGGGCUGCAGAGGCCCUGGCUGCAGGAGCUGACAUUGCGGAGUUCUCUGUUGGGGGAAUGGAUUUCAGUCUUUUUAAAGAGGUCUUUGAGUCUUCCAAAAUGGAUUUCAUUUUGUCUCAUGCCGUGUACUGCAGGGAUGUUCUG